AGUGAACGCUGGCGGCGUGCCUAAUACAUGCAAGUCGAACGGAGUGGCGCGCGGGUGAGUAAUAUAUAGUUAAUCUGCCCUACACAGAGGAACAACAGUUGGAAACGACUGCUAAUACCUCAUAGUGUAGGAUGAGACUAUAUCGUAUCAGCUAGUUGGUAAGGUAAAGGCGUACCAAGGCGAUGACGCGUAACUGGUCAGAGAGGAUGAUCAGUAGCAUUGGAAGUGAGACAGGGGCGGGGCAUCUUGGAGAAGGAGCGGUAAGGAGUAUCGCGCAAUGGGGGAGUCCCUAGCGGAGCAACGCCGCGUGAAGGAUGACACUUUGGGGAGCGUAAACUCCUGUUAACAGGAAAGCGGUACCUGAAGAAUAAGCACCGGCUAACUCCGUGCCAGCAGCCGCGGUAAUAC
rnacentral:rRNA from 1 species